GGCAGAAAGAUGAGAAGAACAAGUGUGACAGACAGGUGAGACAAGUGUAGACAGACAAGUGAGAAAAGUGUAGACAGACCAGUGAGACAAGUGUAGACAGACAGGUGAGGCAAAGAGGUGAGACAAGUGUAGACAGACAGGUGAAACAAGUGUAGACAGACAAGUGAGAAAAGUGUAGACAGACAGGUGAAACAAGUGUAGACAGACAAGUGAGAAAAGUGUAGACAGACAGGUGAAACAAGUGUAGACAGACAAGUGAGAAAAGUGUACACAGACAGGUGAAACAAGUGUAGACAGACAAGUGAGACAAGUGUAGACAGACAGGUGAAACAAACAAGUGUGACAGACAGGUGAGGAGAGUGUAGACAGACGAGUGAGACAAGUUUAGACAGAUUGGUGAGACAGGCAUACACAGACAAGUGAGACACAUGUAGACAGACCGGUGAGAAAGAAAAGUGUAGAAAGAGAAGUGAAACGUGUAGACAGAUGGGUGAGACAAGUGUAGACAGACAGGUGAGACAGACAGGUGAGACAUGUGUAGACAGACAGGUGAAACAAGUGUAGAUAGACAGGUGAGACAAGUGUAGACAGACUAGUCAGAAAAGUGUAGACAAACAGGUGAAACAAGUAUAGACAGACAGGUAAGACAAGUGUAGAGAGACAGGUGAAAGAAGUGUAGA